rnacentral:rRNA from 1 species
UCCUUUAACUGACGCUAAAGCUCGAAAGUGCGGGUAUCGAACAGGAUUAGAUACCCUGGUAGUCCGCACGGUAAACGAUGGAUGCCCGCUGUUUGCGAUAUAUUGUAAGCGGCCAAGCGAAAGCGUUAAGCAUCCCACCUGGGGAGUACGCCGGCAACGGUGAAACUCAAAGGAAUUGACGGGGGCCCGCACAAGCGGAGGAACAUGUGGUUUAAUUCGAUGAUACGCGAGGAACCUUACCCGGGCUUGAACUGCAGGAGAACGAUACAGAGAUGUUGAGGUCCUUCGGGACUCCUGUGGAGGUGCUGCAUGGUUGUCGUCAGCUCGUGCCGUGAGGUGUCGGCUUAAGUGCCAUAACGAGCGCAACCCCUUUCUUCAGUUGCCAUCAGGCUAUGCUGGGCACUCUGGAGACACUGCCACCGUAAGGUGUGAGGAAGGUGGGGAUGACGUCAAAUCAGCACGGCCCUUACGUCCGGGGCUACACACGUGUUACAAUGGGUGAUACAGAGAGUUGGGUGCCGGCAACGUCGCUCUAAUCUUUAAAGUCAUCCUCAGUUCGGAUUGGGGUCUGCAACCCGACCCCAUGAAGCUGGAUUCGCU